rnacentral:rRNA from 1 species
GACGUAGGGCGCGAGCGUUGUCCGGAUUUAUUGGGCGUAAAGAGCUCGUAGGCGGCUCGUUGCGUCGGCUGUGAAAACCCGCGGCUCAACUGUGGGCUUGCAGCUGAUACGGGCGGGCUGGAGUUCGGUAGGGGAGACUGGAAUUCCUGGUGUAGCGGUGAAAUGCGCGGAUAUCAGGAGGAACACCGGUGGCGAAGGCGGGUCUCUGGGCCGUUACUGACGCUGAGGAGCGAAAGCGUGGGGAGCGAACAGG